rnacentral:rRNA from 2 species
GAGUUUGAUCAUGGCUCAGGAUGAACGCUAGCGGGAGGCCUAACACAUGCAAGCCGAGCGGUAGAGAUCUUUCGGGAUCUUGAGAGCGGCGUACGGGUGCGGAACACGUGUGCAACCUGCCUUUAUCUGGGGGAUAGCCUUUCGAAAGGAAGAUUAAUACCCCAUAAUAUACUGAAUGGCAUCAUUCGGUAUUGAAAACUCCGGUGGAUAGAGAUGGGCACGCGCAAGAUUAGAUAGUUGGUGAGGUAACGGCUCACCAAGUCUACGAUCUUUAGGGGGCCUGAGAGGGUGACCGGCCACACUGGGACUGAGACACGGCCCAGACUCCUACGGGAGGCAGCAGUAGGGAAUCUUCCACAAUGGGCGAAAGCCUGAUGGAGCAACGCCGCGUGAGUGAUGAAGGUUUUCGGAUCGUAAAACUCUGUUGUUAGGGAAGAACACCGGGAGAGGAUCCCGGUUUGACGGUACCUGACGAGAAAGCCCCGGACUAACUACGUGCCAGCAGCCGCGCCGUAAG